CUAUACAUGCAAGUCGAACGCUUCUUUCCUCCCGAGUGCUUGCACUCAAUUGGAAAGAGGAGUGGCGGACGGGUGAGUAACACGUGGGUAACCUACCCAUCAGAGGGGGAUAACACUUGGAAACAGGUGCUAAUACCGCAUAACAGUUUAUGCCGCAUGGCAUAAGAGUGAAAGGCGCUUUCGGGUGUCGCUGAUGGAUGGACCCGCGGUGCAUUAGCUAGUUGGUGAGGUAACGGCUCACCAAGGCCACGAUGCAUAGCCGACCUGAGAGGGUGAUCGGCCACACUGGGACUGAGACACGGCCCAGACUCCUACGGGAGGCAGCAGUAGGGAAUCUUCGGCAAUGGACGAAAGUCUGACCGAGCAACGCCGCGUGAGUGAAGAAGGUUUUCGGAUCGUAAAACUCUGUUGUUAGAGAAGAACAAGGACGUUAGUAACUGAACGUCCCCUGACGGUAUCUAACCAGAAAGCCACGGCUAACUACGUGCCAGCAGCCGCGGUAAUACGUAGGUGGCAAGCGUUGUCCGGAUUUAUUGGGCGUAAAGCGAGCGCAGGCGGUUUCUUAAGUCUGAUGUGAAAGCCCCCGGCUCAACCGGGGAGGGUCAUUGGAAACUGGGAGACUUGAGUGCAGAAGAGGAGAGUGGAAUUCCAUGUGUAGCGGUGAAAUGCGUAGAUAUAUGGAGGAACACCAGUGGCGAAGGCGGCUCUCUGGUCUGUAACUGACGCUGAGGCUCGAAAGCGUGGGGGAGCAAACAGGAUUAGAUACCCUGGUAGUCCACGCCGUAAACGAUGAGUGCUAAGUGUUGGAGGGUUUCCGCCCUUCAGUGCUGCAGCAAACGCAUUAAGCACUCCGCCUGGGGAGUACGACCGCAAGGUUGAAACUCAAAGGAAUUGACGGGGGCCCGCACAAGCGGUGGAGCAUGUGCUUUAAUUCGAGCACGCGAGAACCUUACCAGGUCUUGACAUCCUUUGACCACUCUAGAGAUAGAGCUUUCCCUUCGGGACAAAGUGACAGGUGGUGCAUGGUUGUCGUCAGCUCGUGUCGUGAGAUGUUGGGUUAAGUCCCGCAACGAGCGCAACCCUUAUUGUUAGUUGCCAUCAUUUAGUUGGGCACUCUAGCGAGACUGCCGGUGACAAACCGGAGGAAGGUGGGGAUGACGUCAAAUCAUCAUGCCCCUUAUGACCUGGGCUACACACGUGCUACAAUGGGAAGUACAACGAGUCGCUAGACCGCGAGGUCAUGCAAAUCUCUUAAAGCUUCUCUCAGUUCGGAUUGCAGGCUGCAACUCGCCUGCAUGAAGCCGGAAUCGCUAGUAAUCGCGGAUCAGCACGCCGCGGUGAAUACGUUCCCGGGCCUUGUACACACCGCCCGUCACACCACGAGAGUUUGUAACACCCGAAGUCGGUGAGGUAACCUUUUUGGAGCCAGCCGCCUAAG
rnacentral:rRNA from 1 species